AGUCUUAUAUUCAUUAAAUGAUAAUAGAAUGCAAUUCUAUAGGAGUAGGUAAUUACUAAGGCUU
rnacentral:tRNA from 1 species